UGGACUCAAUGAAGCAGGUGAGAUGAAUGGGCCUCACAAUAUUGGACAUUUGACCGGUCAAAAACAUUUGCCCCCAAGACUUGUUGGGCAUUCAGGAUGCUAGGGGAGUCUUUUAGCGGUCAUGGCCGACCUUCAGGAAUGGUUGUCCAUGCGUCGGAUGACAUGCAUUGCUUUGGUUUUACCAAAGCGUAAUGAGGAACAUUAGCAUUAAAUGCAAUUUCAUCAUUGA
rnacentral:lncRNA from 1 species